UACGUAGGCAGCAAGCGUUGUUCGGAAUUACUGGGCGUAAAGAGUGUGUAGGCGGUGCUCCAAGUCUGUUGUGAAAUCUCCCGGCUUAACUGGGAGGGUGCGGCGGAAACUGGAAUGCUUGAGUAUGGGAGAGGAAAGCGGAAUUCCUGGUGUAGCGGUGAAAUGCGUAGAUAUCAGGAGGAACACCUGUGGCUAAGGCGGCUCUCUAGUACGGUACUGACGCUGAGACGCGAAAGCGUGGGGAGCGAACAGG
rnacentral:rRNA from 1 species